ensembl:lncRNA
GUCUCAUGUGUAUGAUUUUUUGUAGUAGCUGUUCCAGGUCAACAUUGGAAAGGCACAAAUUUGGAAAAUGUGAUCAUUGAGAUGUCAUUUUUAAGCAAUACUUCAGCAAACAGAUGCACUAACCCUCAGUCUGCAGCUUCCCAUUUUGUUUUUGUAUGGUUCUAGUGGCUACACACCCAGUCUUGACCUCAAUGCCGAAAAAAUAAUGUCGUAUGCAUAAGAGAUGACUGCAAGCAAAUCUAGCAGUUUUGAAGAGCAGUUAGAAGACAGUAGUAUUUACAGAGAUUGGAAAAAAGAUGUUCCUGUCUGCCUCCCAACACUUGGAUGGUCAUCAGAACUUGCACUAAAUGAAUGUCUACUGACUUGCACAGAUUAGAAACACUCCAGGACUGGAUUUGUAUACAUUGAAAGCUAAACAACAAUAAGGCUGUGUUUGUUGUUCAUGUUUACUUGUUCAACGUCAGUUCAUCUGGAAAAGUAAGCCAUGUCUCGCCUUCAUUACAGUUACUGAAACAUCAGCUUUGUGUCUCCUGACAUCAUAUUAUGUACAAAAUACAGAUGUUCCUGCAAUGUACUAUAAUCAUCUGCAGGUAACUUUUGUCUUUCUUUCUACAGAAGAGAAAUGAAGAGCUGAUAAAUGAUUGCACUUUCAGAUGAACUCAUCAUAUGCACCUGCCUUUAUCUGAAUGUGCAAUAUAAAAUUUUAAUUAAUACACAUUUGUGUGAAUAUUUUGUAUAUAUGUAGCUACUUACAUAUUCAUAUAAAAAUUAGCAAUUGUAUUCAUCACAUUUCUCCAUUUUAUGCUAAUGGUUGACCAGCAAGUUGCUAAACAAGAUCCUGGCAGUGUAGGACAGCUCUUUCCUUUUGGCAACAUUGGCUUCACUCCUUUCCCAUAGUUUGACUUGCAGCGCCAAACUGGCAAGUAAAACCUGUUUGACUAGGUAAGUUUUACCGGUUUGACCUGUCAAAACAGGUAAGUAAAACAGGUAAUUAAAAAUCAAUCACAAAAAGGAAGCAUACAGAGAGCGAAAGCAAGACAAGUAACCAAGAGACAAGGAAUACAGAGACAUUGUCCAAGCAUCUAGGAGUGAAGUUAGGAAAGCUAAUGCUCAAGUGGAGUUGAAUCUGACCAGGGAUGUCAAAGACAACAAGAAAGGCAUAGGUAAGUACACUGAUGAUGAAAGGAAGAGUUAGGAAAAUGUAGGCCCUCUGCUGAAAGAAAUAGAAGUUGUGAGUACGCAGGACAAUGAAAAGACAGAGGUACUGAAAGCCUCCUUGGACACAAUCAUACUAUCAAGAUUAGCCUCAAGUAAUACCAGGUCACCAGGGAGAAGAAAAAUGGAGCAAGGAAGAUGUACUCUUGAUGCAAGAGGAU